rnacentral:rRNA from 1 species
AUUGAACGCUGGCGGCAGGCCUAACACAUGCAAGUCGAGCGAGCGGCGGACGGGUGAGUAAUGUCUGGGAAACUGCCUGAUGGAGGGGGAUAACUACUGGAAACGGUAGCUAAUACCGCAUACCAUCAGAUGUGCCCAGAUGGGAUUAGCUAGUGGGUGGGGUAACGGCUCACCUAGGCGACGAUCCCUAGCUGGUCUGAGAGGAUGACCAGCCCCACUGGACCUGAGAAAGGGCCCAGAUUCCUACGGGAGGAAGAAGUGGGGAAUAUUGCAAAAGGGGCGAAAGCCUGACGAGCCCAUGCCCGGGGUGGGAAGAAGGCCUUCGGGUUUUAAAGCAUUUUCAGCGGGAAGGCGUUACCUGAAGAAGAAGCACCGGCUAACUCCGUGCCAGCAGCCGCGGUAAUAC